rnacentral:rRNA from 1 species
UUCCGGUUGAUCCCGCCGGACCCGACUGCUAUUUGGGUGAGGAUAAACCAUGCGAGUUGUAUGGGAUACCUAAAUUUCCCAUAGCAAACUGCUUAGUAACACAUGAUCAACUUACCCUAUGGAGAAAUAUAACCUCGGGAAACUGAGGAUAAUGCUUCAUAGUUGAAUAGGCUUGGAAAAGUUUUUCAAUGAAAGGGAUAAGAUAAAUGGUUCUUAUCUGCCAUAGGAUAGGAUCGUGCUCGAUUAUGGUUGUUGGUGAGGUAACGGCUCACCAAGCCGAUAAUCGAUAGGGGCCGUGAGAGCGGGAGCCCCAAGAUGGGUACUGAGACAGCGACCCAGGCCUUACGAGGCGCAGCAGGUACGAAACCUCCGCAAUACACGAAAGUGUGACGGGGUUACCCAAAGUGUUCUUAUAGAACUGUGGCAGGUGAGUAAUGUCCCCUGCUAGAAAGGAGAGGGCAAGGCUGGUGCCAGCCGCCGCGGUAAAACCAGCUCUUCAAGUGGUCGGGAUAAUUAUUGGGCUUAAAGUGUCCGUAGCCGGUUUAGUAAGUUCCUGGUAAAAUCAGGUAGCUUAACUAUCUGUAUGCUAGGAAUACUGCUAUACUAGAGGGCGGGAGAGGUCUGAGGUACUACAGGGGUAGGGGUGAAAUCUUAUAAUCCUUGUAGGACCACCAGUGGCGAAGGCGUCAGACUGGAACGCGCCUGACGGUGAGGGACGAAAGCCAGGGGAGCGAACCGGAUUAGAUACCCGGGUAGUCCUGGCCGUAAACGAUGCAUACUAGGUGAUGGUACGGCCAUGAGCCGUGUCAGUGCCGUAGGGAAACCGUUAAGUGUGCCGCCUGGGAAGUACGGUCGCAAGGCUAAAACUUAAAGGAAUUGGCGGGGGAGCACCACAAGGGGUGAAGCCUGCGGUUCAAUUGGGAUUCAACGCCGGGAAUCACUAGUGCGGC